GAUGAACGCUGGCGGCGUGCCUAAUACAUGCAAGUCGAGCGAACAGACGAGGAGCUUGCUCCUCUGACGUUAGCGGCGGACGGGUGAGUAACACGUGGAUAACCUACCUAUAAGACUGGGAUAACUUCGGGAAACCGGAGCUAAUACCGGAUAAUAUAUUGAACCGCAUGGUUCAAUAGUGAAAGACGGUUUUGCUGUCACUUAUAGAUGGAUCCGCGCCGCAUUAGCUAGUUGGUAAGGUAGCGGCUUACCAAGGCAACGAUGCGUAGCCGACCUGAGAGGGUGAUCAGCCACACUGGAACUGAGACACGGUCCAGACUCCUACGGGAGGCAGCAGUAGGGAAUCUUCCGCAAUGGGCGAAAGCCUGACGGAGCAACGCCGCGUGAGUGAUGAAGGUCUUCGGAUCGUAAAACUCUGUUAUUAGGGAAGAACAAAUGUGUAAGUAACUAUGCACGUCUUGACGGUACCUAAUCAGAAAGCCACGGCUAACUACGUG
rnacentral:rRNA from 1 species